rnacentral:lncRNA from 10 species
GCUGUGGUGCAGGCUGGCAGGGCAGGAGCUGACCUUUCCGGAAUGGAAUGCUGCCUGAGCAGUCAGCUCCAGAAGGGAAGGGGGCGUUGGGCCACUUCCCUCACCCUCUCCAGUCCUCAGCUCCCCUGAGACAGGUCUCGGAGCCCUGGCCUCUCUUGUGGGGAAGGGGGCAGGUGAGGCUGGCUGACUGUGUGGACACUUGCCUGAUCACUUCAAGUCAAGCCACCUGGGCCAGGCUGAUUCCAACCUGACUAGGGAUAAGCUUCACAACAAAUCUACGAAGCAGACAGACGCUGUUUACCUCCUGGAGGCUAUCCAAGACCACACAGCUGGAACCAGGGUUUGCUCUACAGACCAUGGUCUCAGCGACGAUCACUGCUGCCUCCUGGGCAGGGACCACCCGAGGAACUGAGAAUGCUGGAAGCCAAGCUUGCACAUUCUAGGCAGCCAUUUGGAAGAUUCUUCUCUGCGCAUGACCAGCUGAAAAGGAAAAACCCCGAAACAUUGGCACUGUGAUUUCUCCAUGUGAACAGUUUAGUUCGCCGAGGUGGACAUGCCUCAUUCAUGCUUAUGGAGUGACCGACCAGCCUUUAGUGACACCCCCUGAAAUGUGAGUCAUCCAUGGGUCACUAGUCAUUGGAGAAGAGCCCCUUAUACAAAACUUGGAGCUCAGACCACAAACAACAACAACAAUCCAAAAAAUAAAAAAAUGAAAAAUUAGGAGCAGAGACUAAAUGGAAAGAUGGAAAUAUUAAAAUAAAAAUAUUA